CCUACGGGAGGCAGCAGUAGGGAAUCUUCGUCAAUGGGCGCAAGCCUGAACGAGCAAUGCCGCGUGAACGAGGAAGGUAUUCGGAUCGUAAAGUUCUGUUGAAGGGGAAAAAGAGCGGAGAGAGGAAAUGCGUUCUGAUUGAUAUUACCCUGCGAGGAAGUCAAGGCUAACUACGUGCCAGCAGCCGCGGUAAUACGUAGGUGGCGAGCGUUAUCCGGAAUGAUUGGGCGGAAAGGGUGCGUAGGCGGCCUGCUAAGUCUGGAGUGAAAUGACCCGGCUCAACCGGUACAGGCUGUGGAAACUGGCGGGCUAGAGAGCAGAAGAGGGCGGUGGAACUCCAUGUGUAGCGGUAAAAUGCGUAGAUAUAAGGAAGAACAUCAGUGGCGAAGGCGGCCGCCUGGCCUGUUAACUGACGCUGAGGCACGAAAGCGUGGGGAGCAAAUAGGAUUAGAUACCCUAGUAGUC
rnacentral:rRNA from 1 species